AGUGAUCUACUGGCAAGGUUCAUUUCUGCAAGAGGUAUUUCCAUGCAGGUCUGCGGCACUGGCUCUUCAUGUGUAAGUCAUCAUGAACAAGGACAACUUUCAGCUGAAUGAGUAGCCUUAGACCUUUUUAGGAUCUGGAUAAAUGAGCAGAGACACAGAAGCAGGGCUUCUUUGUAAGCCCCAUUUCCCACACCCUAUCAGAAAAAAGACAACUUACAGUAACAUUACAAUGAAGAUAUGCUGCUGCAAAGCAAAUAACCUAUAUACUGGCGUCCUUUACUAUUGAAUUAUAAAUUCAACGGGAGCAGCAAUAACGGAUGCAUAAAUCCAAUCUUUUCCCAAAGUAAUCGAAAAGCGCGGAUUAUCUGCACGCCCUCUUUGGUGCUCAGGCUCAGGCGGAAUGGAUAAACACUGGCAGCGAUUACACGAACGAAAUGGAAAUUGCGGUAUUCCCACUGCGAACGUAUAUAUUUAUACCUCUAGCUGCAAACAGAGGGCUGUGUCCGCGGAGCCAUUAACACCGAAGACAUUUCGAUCAGGCAGGUAAAUGGCGAGGAAAGCGGCUCCAAAAGGGAAGGCGAGAGGUUGCCACGAUGCCAAGAGAAACGGAGCGGCCCCGCCGGAGCUCAGCGUGGACACGCGAGAAACGGAGCUGCUCCCGAAAAAUCCUUCCAAGAGAACGCAUUGAUUCUGAUCCGUGGAAAACAUUUCACUGGAAAACUGUGACUUUUUCUCGUGGUUUAUUUUAUUUCCUGGACAGAGAAGUAAGAAGACAACUAUGUGGGGGGUUUCCCGGCAGGUUUCGAUGCAUGCAUAGACCGAUAUUUCCUUCACGGCGUGCGGCAGUGGCGACAGCCAUCCCAGGGAAUAAUCGGUGACGGUUUUCGUCUGGUUGUUUUUUGUUGGUGUUUUGUUUAGUUUAGUUUUGGAGUCCUUUUGGGAGGGGUGGGUUUAAGUGAAAAAGAAUUAACUCUCUGUGCUGCGGGCAUGGGGGCGGAGGCAGGAUAGCUAAUUGCAGAUCGGAUUUGAUAUUGCCUAACAUCCGUGAGAGGGAACGGGGGGAGGAUGAGGAGCAGCCCGGCUCUAAAGCGCUGGGGAGCAGCAGCGCGGCUCCGCCGUUACCAGCUCUCUCCCACAACGACCUCUCGCAGCAAGAAAUUUUCCCCCGGGUUUUCCUGCCAGAUCCAGAGGGAGAGAGCCCUGAAAGCCUUCCCCAGCACCAAGGCAGGAGCGGACAGUGAUCCCCGCUGCUCCGGCCCGGGGGACGCGGCGGUGGGAAGGG